GGUACCAAACCACAAAGGGAAGGCUGGGAUUGAUUUUGGGGAUAAUUCCCUAGAAAUUUGAGGAAUUAGGGGCCAUAAAGGGGCAAAAAAACAAGCAUUUUUCUAGUUUCAGGACAAUAACUUGUGUGUAAGUGUAUGGAUCUUUAUGAAAUUGUACUGCAAGGUUCCAUAUCACAAAGGGAAAGCUGGGUUUGAGUUUGGGGGUAAUUGCCCUAAAUGUUUAGGAAUUUGGGGCCAAAAAACAAGCAUUUUUCUUGUUUCCAGACAAUAACUUGUGUUCAAGUGUAUGGAUCUCUCUGAAAUUGUACAGUUCAUGCAUGUGAACCUCCCGAUCGGAGUACAAUAAUCCCGUUUUCAGGGGUCUCCUCCCGACCUCCCGUUGAAGACAAAAAAAUCCCGUGUAUGAAAUAUUUCAUGAAUGAAAUUUCAGCCCAACAUAUCUGGUGUAACUGACAUUACUGAAGUUAUAUUUUACCUGUAAAUCAAUUAACAUGCAUAAUUAUAUGGCCUCACUUGUCACCUUGGGUGUCAAACAUACUGGUAAUAAACGAUUUUUACCUCA